CCAAUAGCGUAUAUUAAAGUUGUUGCAGUUAAAAAGCUCGUAGUUGAAUUUCGGGAUCAAUAUGUCGGUCGUGCUUAGGUACGUACUGGCGUUAUUGGUUUCUCCUUUCUGAUGAACCAUGAUGCCAUUAAUUUGGUGUUAUGGGGAAUCAGGACUGUUACCUUGAAAAAAUUAGAGUGUUUAAAGCAGGCUCACGCUUGAAUACAUUAGCAUGGAAUAAUGAAAUAGGACGUUUGAUUCUAUUUUGUUGGUUUCUAGGAUCGACGUAAUGAUUAAUAGGGAUAGUUGGGGGCAUUAGUAUUCAAUUGUCAGAGGUGAAAUUCUUGGAUUUAUUGAAGACUAACUACUGCGAAAGCAUUUGCCAAGGAUGUUUUCAUUAAUCAAGAACGAAAGUUAGGGGAUCGAAGACGAUCAGAUACCGUCGUAGUCUUAACCAUAAACUAUGCCGACUAGGGAUCGGAUGAUGUUAAUUUUUUAAUGACUCAUUCGGCGCCUUACG
rnacentral:rRNA from 1 species